UACGUAGGGUGCGAGCGUUAAUCGGAAUUACUGGGCGUAAAGCGUGCGCAGGCGGUUCGUUAAGUCAGAUGUGAAAGCCCCGGGCUCAACCUGGGAACUGCAUUUGAAACUGGCGGGCUUGAGUGUGGCAGAGGGGGGUGGAAUUCCGCGUGUAGCAGUGAAAUGCGUAGAGAUGUGGAGGAAUACCGAUGGCGAAGGCAGCCCCCUGGGAUAACACUGACGCUCAUGCACGAAAGCGUGGGGAGCAAACAGG
rnacentral:rRNA from 1 species